GCUGCUUUUCUUUGGAAGGGCUUCAGCUGUUCUCUUUGGCUGAGCUCUGGUCUUCGCCUAGCUAAGGGUGGCUGCUGUUCUCUUUGGAAGAGCGCUGGUUUUCGCCUGCCUUCACCUUGAGAGUCACCUCUUGGCUUUCGGCACAGGUUUUUCAGCUUCCAGAAUCUGUCUUCCGGCUUCUGGUGCAGACUCUGUAGCCUCUCACACCAGCCCUUGGGCUUUCAGGAGCAGACCCUUCAGUCUUCUGUCACAGAUUCUGCGACCUCCUGAGAGCGACUUGCAUGGAAUGUUGCUGUGCACACCAGGCCUUCAGCUGGAUUCGCUGCAUCUCUCUUUGCAAAGCCUUAAAACUGGACAACAUCUUUUAAGGCCGCCAGUGCAGAGGGCAGAAAGACGUUCCCAGAAAGCUUACAAGAUUACUGGGUUGGGCGACUCAAGGUGAACAGUGUGCUCGCAUGACAUAAAGGAGGACAGUCUGCAAGACGGUGUGAUUGCCAUCAGCGAGUGGAGGGGACCUUUCCCAAUCGUGGCUUCCCAGCAUCUUCUCCAUCAAUUCCCACAAGCAUGAGUGUGGCAGCAUGAAGAGGGCUCGAAGAUUUCUGGAUUUCUACCUUCUGGCUAUAUUUGUGCUUCAGCAAAAAUCGACUCCACAAAGACACAAUGUGUUUGCCGCUGUGUGUCCAAGGCCUGGAAGAGCUCAAGAUUAAUGAACAAAUGCAUGAAAGAACAAAUGGAUAUUGGCUUCUGGGAGGAGGGAUUUCAAAGCCACCACUCAGUGGGAUGGGCAGCCACAAGAGGGAGGGUGCUUUCUUCCCAUGAUAGAUGUCGGACGGCACCGAGAUGGCAAAGACUCUGUGGCCUACAGCCAGCUCGCCUGCUGCUAGGACUCCUAUGCAGCCUGAGUUUCGCACAGGCAUUGACUGGGGGAAUUAUUCUUGGGAUCUUUAGCCCAGCUCCCCACUCCCCAACCUAUGAAUUCUCUCUGUCUGCUUUGUCCAGAGAUGAGAGCUUCCUGUUUCUCAGGGGACCCCAGUGACAGUAUCAGUUGCACGGGAGCUCAGCCCCUGGUUUCAGCUAGUUCAGUAGCAGCUUCCUUCUUUGUGAUUCGGUUCUCUUGUUUCUUGAGCUCAGAGCUGUGGAGCUGAAGACAUAGGCUUUGCUGAGGCCAAUACAGCACCCAGAGGUGCUGGCACCUGCCCUGCCCUAGAGUCUGUGUGCACAGGUGGAGCAGUCUGGCAGCUCUGGGAAGGGGCCUGGUGCACCAGAGACUCUGCUGGGAAUGAACCAGGCAGUUGGCACCAGCGUGGCCUGGGUGCAAGCAUCCAGGGAGGGAGGUGUAGGCAGACUGGGUGGGGAGGGCCAGGUGGGGCCAGGAAUACACAUCCUCCUUCCCAGAAGCCUCACUCCUCUGCUCCUGCUGCUGCACCAUAUUUCUGAGAACAUCUCGAUCCCAGCACACAAGCAGCCUCAGCCAGGGAGAUGUUUGCAGGUUCCUGGCGGGAGGGUGGCACCCAGGUGUGC